AUUCUAGAGCUAAUACAUGCUGUAAAGCCCGACUUCACGGAAGGGCCGUAUUUAUUAGAUAACAGACCAAUAUUCCUCGUGUCUAUUGUGGUGAAUCAUAGUAACUAAUCGGAUCGCAUGGGCUAGUCCCGCGACAAACCAUUCAAGUUUCUGCCCCAUCAGCUUUCGAUGGUAGUGUAUUGGACUACCACGGCUUUUACGGGUAACGGAGGAUUAGGGUUCGAUUCCGGAGAGGGAGCCUGAGAAACGGCUACCACAUCUAAGGAAGGCAGCAGGCGCGUAAAUUACCCAAUCCUAAUUCAGGGAGGUAGUG
rnacentral:rRNA from 1 species